rnacentral:lncRNA from 1 species
GGAAACUCACUUACUAUUGGGACAUCCUCUAACUUAGGUUCCCCCUUUGAAGUAUCGAUCACGUAUGCCAAAUAAGCCGGAUACCCUUUUUGCACUAAUUUCGAAGCUUUGAUGGCUGAGAUUACACAAGAUGGUAAUACUCGACGUUCCCCUACAAACACAAUCUCUGCUCCCUCCGAAUUCCGAAGAACAACUUCUUUUCG